rnacentral:rRNA from 1 species
GAUGAACGCUGGCGGCGUGCUUAACACAUGCAAGUCGAACGGAAAGGCCAGUGCUUGCACUGGUACUCGAGUGGCGAACGGGUGAGUAACACGUGGGUGAUCUGCCCUGCACUUCGGGAUAAGCCUGGGAAACUGGGUCUAAUACCGGAUAGGACAAUGGUUUGGAUGCCGUUGUGGAAAGUUUUUUCGGUGUGGGAUGAGCUCGCGGCCUAUCAGCUUGUUGGUGGGGUAAUGGCCUACCAAGGCGUCGACGGGUAGCCGGCCUGAGAGGGUGUACGGCCACAUUGGGACUGAGAUACGGCCCAGACUCCUACGGGAGGCAGCAGUGGGGAAUAUUGCACAAUGGGCGCAAGCCUGAUGCAGCGACGCCGCGUGGGGGAUGACGGCCUUCGGGUUGUAAACUCCUUUCGCUAGGGACGAAGCGUAUUUGUGACGGUACCUGGAGAAGAGGCACCGGCUAACUACGUG